CUUUGGGAUAACCCUCGGAAACGGGGGCUAAUACCGAAUAUGACCUCCGAUCGCAUGGUUGGUGGUGGAAUGUUUUUCGGCUUGGGAUGGGCUCGCGGCCUAUCAGCUUGUUGGUGGGGUGAUGGCCUACCAAGGCGACGACGGGUAGCCGGCCUGAGAGGGCGACCGGCCACACUGGGACUGAGACACGGCCCAGACUCCUACGGGAGGCAGCAGUGGGGAAUAUUGCACAAUGGGCGGAAGCCUGAUGCAGCGACGCCGCGUGAGGGAUGACGGCCUUCGGGUUGUAAGCCUCUUUCAGCAGGGACGAAGCGUGAGUGACGGUACCUGCAGAAGAAGCGCCGGCCAACUACGUGCCAGCAGCCGCGGUAAGACGUAGGGCGCGAGCGUUGUCCGGAUUUAUUGGGCGUAAAGAGCUCGUAGGCGGCUUGUCGCGUCGACCGUGAGAACUUGGGGCUCAACCCCAAGCCUGCGGUCGAUACGGGCAGGCUAGAGUUCGGUAGGGGAGACUGGAAUUCCUGGUGUAGCGGUGAAAUGCGCAGAUAUCAGGAGGAACACCGGUGGCGAAGGCGGGUCUCUGGGCCGAUACUGACGCUGAGGAGCGAAAGCGAGGGGAGCGAACAGGAUUAGAUACCCUGGUAGUCCACGCUGUAAACGUUGGGCGC
rnacentral:rRNA from 1 species